rnacentral:lncRNA from 1 species
CUCUCAUAAAACAACAUACAACUAUGUAAAACAUUUAAAUGCAACAACAAACGCGAUCAAAAUCGCAACUAAGGUAACAAUUGACCCAACAGCAUAAUGAUACCAAGCAUCUUUAUCAAUGGCAUAUUUUCUAAUAUUCCUAAUCUUCAAGCGCAUUUCAUCCAUCUUCAAGCGCAUUGCAUCCAUCUUCAACCGCAUCGCAUCGAUCUUCAUCUUGCGAUCAUCGAUGACAUCAGCGAC